rnacentral:rRNA from 1 species
UAAGCGGAGGAAAAGAAACUAACAAUGAUUCCCUUAGUAACGGCGAGUGAAGGGGGAAAAGCUCAAAUUUUUAAAUCGGCAUAGGUUUACCUAGUCGAGUUGUAAUUUGAAGAAGCGUUUACCGCAUCCAGGUCGGCCCAAAUCCUUUGGGAUAAGGUAUCAUGGAGGGUGAGAAUCCCGUCCGGUUGACCUCAGGAUGUUUUACGUUACGCUCUCUAAGAGUCGAGUUGUUUGGGAUUGCAGCUCAAAAUGGGUGGUAAAUUCCAUCUAAGGCUAAAUAUUGGCGAGAGACCGAUAGCGAACAAGUACCGUGAGGGAAAGAUGAAAAGAACUUUGAAAAGAGAGUUAAACAGUACGUGAAAUUGUUGAUAGGGAAACGAUUGAAGUCAGUCAUGCCAGUGAGAAAUCAGCUUACAGGCUACUGUGAGUGCACUUUUUCGCAAGGCAGGUUAACAUCGGUUUUCGUUGCGUCAAAUGAUUGUAGGAAGGUGGCUCCUUCGGGAGUGUUAUAGCCUACUUUAGAUGGCGCGACGAGGACCGAGGAUUGCAGCGAAUGCCUUUGGCUACGGAUCUUUUCUCUGUUGAUCUUUAGUUGAUCGUCAGCUUUGCUGACGAGCGGUUGAUAGGUUUGCAAUAGGAUGGAAUCCGAUAAAUUCGCUAAGGAUGUUGACGUAAUGGCUUUAAACGACCCUGUCUUGAAACACGGAUCCAAGGAGUCUAAUCAUAUAUGCGAGUGUUA